GACCUCUCGAACUAAAAGCAAACAAUAGCAUUCGAAAGAAUAGAUUAUCAUGGUGUGCUGCACUUAUAGCUCAUUGGGAACGAUAUGCUGUUUUGCGAAUUGCUCAGACUACUAUUUGCGGCCAUAUAGUUUGCUAAUAUAACUUUUUCACUAUAUCGAUUCAAACAAAGUCGGUAUUAAACAUUAGGUGCAUCGUGGUCCCGGAUCGAGAGUGUUUUAUUUUCUAUUAAAUGGUUUCAUCAGAAGUUCAGUUUCCGCGUUUGCGAUUACAGAUUAAACCCGACCAUACUUUAUUUACAAUAUCUAAUCUGAUAUGGAGUGCAGAUUACGAUAUACACAUGUAAUUGCUGAAAACAUAUGGAUACAACGGUGGAUCAAUAACCCGGCCAGGGCAUAAUAUAUCUAGCUUGUGUGCAUUGCUGAGCCGUAAAGGACUACAUAUUUUUGUGCAUCAGAGAUAGACCUUUGACCCAGUAUAGUGUCUACUUGUUGCUCGUAGUUGUGCUGUUCAUGGGGAUCCUAGUCAUGGAUUCCACGACAACAACUCCCUCAACCGGCUCUAAACUCGACGAUGACCUCAAACUCACAAUCAUCUUCUCUGUGGUCGCUGUCGUGUGUUUCAUCUCUCUUAUCAUGCUCCUUUACUACAUCACAAGAACUGCGAGACGACAAUUCAAAGAGGCAGAGGAAAAACUCGCAAAAGAAAAAGAAAGAAUUCAAUAUGAAAGAUAUCAGGAAAGAGCAACAUUGCGAGGUGGGGGUUUUCCAAGUGUAACAAGUGCUGAUAGAACUGAUAUUUUUGUAAUACAUGAUUCAUCGAAAGACUCACAUUUAAGAAGACUGUGAUGGGAAGAUUGAGCUCAAUAAUAAUCUCAAUAUAGGCCUAUAUUAGGCCUAUGUUUUGUAAUAUUUUCUUAUAUUCACAAAGUGUUUUGAUCCACGGAAUGAUCUAAGAUUCCCUACAAGAGGGGACACACAAACCCUUCUUCGGUUAUUUCACCACCACCCCACCCCAAAUAAAGGGAUAUUUCCUAAUUCGCGAGCUCAACCGGAAAUAAAUAUUUUCCUAUUGAGCCUCUUUCUUUGCAAAAUACAUACAUACUAUAAUAAUUUAGAAUUAUAUUACCUUAGACAUGUUAGAAGGCACUGUGCUCCAGCUGCAGGGACAAGAUAUUUUCUCUGCUCUCUCUGUCAUUUACUUACAUUUAUGAUAAAACAGGGAUCAGAAAAAAGGAAGUUGAUUGUCAAAAUUGGUUAAUUGAUAGACAUAAGUUUAUUGUUCUUGGCAUACAAAUUAUAUCUACAAUUAUCCCAAAGAAAGAAGUCAUUCUACACGUUGUUUAGACUCAUUCAUUUAUCCCGACUACUUUGUGGAAAAUUACGUUUAAAGUUGAUCUCAGCAACAAUAAAAAACUUACGUAAUUGCAAUUCAUCAGUGAUCACUGAAACAUUGUGCAUUUGGUGUAAUAACUGAAGGGAUUUAUAAAUGAGUUCUUUAGAAGUGUGACUUGUCCAUUGUCCACUGCGUGUUGAAAACGGUAAAUGAUUCAAACGACUCUUACAUGACUGCACACCGUUUAACUUUCCCGCUUCCCAGCUGAUUUGAAUACUUGGAAUGCAAAGCAUGUAACCAACAAUAGGAAAAACAUACUAUUCUAAAUGUUUUUCGCAUUAUAAUUCGGGCUUGAGUACGGGAAGCAAACGCCCCUAUACGUAAGCCUCGUUUGCCUCGA
rnacentral:lncRNA from 1 species